rnacentral:snRNA from 1 species
ACACUGGUAAUAGAGACCUUAGCUAGAAAAGAAUGAUACAAGAGCAGAUUAGCAUGGCACCUGUGUAAGGGUGACACACAGAUUCAUGAAAUGCUCCAUAUUUUU